CUACGGGUGGCUCCAGUAAGGAAUAUUGCGCAAUGGAGGCAACUCUGACGCAGCCAUGCCGCGUGCAGGAAGAAGGCCUUAUGGGUCGUAAACUGCUUUUAUUUAGGAAUAAACCCUCGCUCGUGAGCGAGGCUGAAGGUACUGAAUGAAUAAGCACCGGCUAACUCCGUGCCAGCAGCCGCAGUAAUACGGAGGGUGCAAGCGUUAUCCGGAUUUAUUGGGUUUAAAGGGUGCGCAGGCGGGCUAUUAAGUCAGUGGUGAAAUCCCGGGGCUCAACUCCGGAACUGCCAUUGAUACUGAUAGUCUUGAGUUUGGUUGAAGUGGGCGGAAUGUAGCAUGUAGCGGUGAAAUGCAUAGAUAUGCUACAGAACACCAAUCGCGAAGGCAGCUCACUAAGCCAAAACUGACGCUCAUGCACGAAAGCGUGGGGAUCAAACAGGAUUAGAUACCCCAGUAGUC
rnacentral:rRNA from 1 species